CACAACAUUUUUAAUCAACUACCCUUCAAUAAAAAUAAAAUUAAAAAGAAAUAUUUUGAAAAAAGCACAGCAUUGUAAAUCAACUAUAUGUCAAUAAAAAUAAAUUUUUUAGAAGGAAACCAAAAUCUGGAAAAUAGAUGUUCUCAUUAUUACUGGAACCAUAGAUUCUAGGCCCUCUUAACUGACAGAAAAAAAAAUGUAUGUGUGUAUGCGUGCAUAUGUGUGUAUACCAACCUAUCCAUGUACAUAUUAUCUAUCUACCUAAUAAUGUGUAUAUCUCCACCUGUAUUGAUAUUAAACUAAGCAUGGAUUCAUAAAAAUAAUUAAUGAGAGUUUAGGAAAUGGAUAUAUAUAUAUAUGAUGAAUGAAUUGGUGACUAAAUGAAAUUGUUUUCUCCCAAAGGAUCUGGAUAUUUGUUUCUGCUCUUAAAAGUUGGCUUCACUUACUAAUUUUUUACACCUACUUUACAAUGAAAACACAAUUUUUAUUGAAUAAUUAUUAACUAGCUUGUAUUUAUUCAAACUCACACCCUCCUGAACUCCAUGAAUGAUUUCAGAAGAGCUUACAAUAAGCAAGACUUCAGAUUGGGAGAGUGAGCAAUAGCUGUGACUCCGGCUGUCCAAGCUGGCAUCACCACAUGUGCAACGAUGGUGAGAGCAAAUGCUUCGUCAUACCAGGGCACGCAUAAAACACGACUGUGCAUAGGCAUUACUCAGAACACAGCAACGCUUGUGUCAAAACUAAGGCUGUAGACUUGAGUACACAUGGUUUACCUGGCUUAAUUCUUAGAGAAUGUCAGUGGAACAAAAAUUUCAUUAAUUUCUGGAGUAGAAGAAAUUUUCCUCUUGAUAACUCUGUAGGGUCAGUACUAUCCCAGACAAUGCUUUUCUUCCUAGAAUUUUGAGUUUCUUAAUUUUCCAUGUGUGCACAAUCCAUGGGAAAUUGUUUCCAGUAAAUUCCUACAGCCUUCAGCCAUUUUCAAGGUGCAAGGACCCUGUAGAUUUGUGUUUCUAUUAAUUACAAAAAGAAAAUAGAAACGGAAAAUCCAUCAUCAUUGUUAUUAGCAAGGAAUAUAAUGAGCAUUAGAAGCCUCUGAAUUAGCCUAAAAGCAGUGUGGACUACUAAAUAUCAAGUAUAAAUAGAAGAUGAAGAUGAAUUUUAAAGGGCAGAAUUCUGUUUGUACAUUUACUUUCAUAUCAGAUUAGUUCUACAUAUGCUUUCUACAAAAGGAACUGGAGAACACUUGUGUUUCUUGUCUUAGAUGGAUUUUCUGAAGGAAGAGCUAGGCCAGUGCCAGGAUGCCCUUGUCUGAGCCCUUGGGCCCUAGAGAGGCAGAUGAAAGGACGCGGUUGCAGAGCCCAGAUGCUGGGCCCUGCGCUGAUGUGGAAUGCUCCCUUUCUGAGAGAGCACUGUAGAUGCUCAGGACCAGAGCAGUGGGGGUGGGUGGACCAGGGAGAAUGGAGAAGGUGGGGGCAGAACCAUCACUGUGUAGUGGAACAGGCCAGCCACAUGCACCCCUGCAUUCCCAUGGCCAAAGGAGAGUCCUAGUAUCAAUUAGUCAACAGACAGAGUGAUGGUAACUCCCGCCCCCUGCCGUUUAGUGCCUGAACUCUCACCAUCAAGGAUGGGCCUUUAACUUCAACACUCUGAUGUGUCAAAAUCCAGAGAAUUGGGUUUAGGAAGAACGGGAGGUGGGGAAGCUUGAGCGGCUGUCAUAUUUUAAGCUAUCCUUAAUUAUGCAUAGCUUAGGAAAAUUCAUGACGAUAGAGUCAACAGGAGGGUUCAAGACUGAAAGACAUAGGGUAGGUAAGAAAAACUUGUAAACUUUAUCCAGGAGCAGUGCUGUACCAUCCACCGUCAGAAGGAAUUAAUUCUUCAAACACUUCCCCAGUGCUCCUGUGGUGAAGACUUUAACUUCCAAUGCAGGGGAUACUGGUUCGAUUCCUGAUCAGGGAGCUAGGAUCCCACAUGCCAUGUGUCCAAAAAACCAAAAACAUUAAAGAGAAACACUGUAAAAAUCCAAUAAAGAGUUUAAAAAUAGUCCACAUCAAAAAAAUCUUUAAAAUAAGCUAAUAUGAGGAGACUAUAAAACAUGACCAGGGUAUAGACAUCCAGAGCUACACCUUCAGGUGAGGAGACUUUUAGGAGCCUCGUCUUAACAGGGCUAGAGCAGCCUGUUGCCUGUGGUUUUGAAUUAAUUUUGUUGGUCACAUUUCUCAGUUAGUGACAAGAUAUUGUAGCCCUGAGCAAAUUUACUUAGUUCCAUCUUUCUAGAUUAGUGGUUCUCUGCCAGGAGGGUACAGCAGAAUCGUUGUAUAGCUUUUGCCAAUUGCUCUCAGCGCUCCCCUCAUCUGAAAAAGAAUUAGAGUGUGGAUGGGGCAAGAGACAGGCCAGGUGUGGGAAGUAAGAAGACUCUGUCCUGAUAAGCCUAUUACCAGCCUCUCAUUUUAAGAACUGCUAUUCCAAGUGGAACCGAUACUGCUUCAUAACCAGAAAACAAGGACAUAGUUUAAACUAAAUAACUUUGAAUCUCACUAAAACUGGCAAAAUUGUUCAGCAGCUUUUGGGGAUAAAUCUGCUUUACCUUUCACAUGGAUUUCCUCUAGUUGGUCUCUUGCUAAAAAGGAAGGCUGUACAUACAGGCAGUGAAGCAUUCUUUUGAUGCCUGUUAAAUGCCCUUCCCUUUACGAAUCCUUGUAACUAAGAUCUUAUGAUCUUUCGUGCUUUAUUUGGAGGAUUUUUUUUUUUUAAUGUUUAUUCAUAGAGCUCUGAGCAAAGUCUGGAUCUUCAAAGCUGUGCUAAGGUUUACUAUCUUUUUCAACAUUCACUGAAUUGUUAUGUGAGGUGGUUUGCCUAGUUUGCACUAGGCAUUUUUAAUUUAAAGCUAUUAUUGAAAAGCAGUAAGAUUCCAAGGCAAGUAGGGGAUCUGUCACUUGGAGAAAAAUUUAUGGGAGUAAAAAUAUUCUUUUUGUAAACAGUUACUGCUCUACAAUGUCUUCCCAGGGUGAGGCUUGGUAUUCAUCUGUUUUAAUUAAAGAGUAUCCUGCCUGUCUGUUUGUGACCAGCUCAUAAGAAGGGGGUAUCUUGGUGAGAAGUUCACAAGGUUGGAAGCUGUAGCUGAGUUUGCUGAACCGACUCAAGCCCUAGUCAGCAGUGGUAUAUGAAUGCCAAGCACUAAGAAUUUCUGGAAUGUAGAAUCGCACAGCACUGAUAAAGUUUGCUUUGUUCCCCUGUGUGACUUGACCCAUUGAAAGAAGAUGUGGUUCCCUAGGAAGUUUUAAUAGUUCAAAGUCCUUAGUUAAUAAAGAAAAAGGCCACAACAUAAUUCAGCUUGUUUUCACCUGCUGCCUCAAAGAUUAACUUUCUUAACAUUAAGGAGAUAGAGUUACACUUUGCUUUGAAAAAGUAGCUUGUGGAGCACUUCACGUUCGUUCGUUUCACUAAACAUGACAGUGUUUGUGUGGAUUUGGUUUUUGUUUGGGGUUUGGUGUCACAAACUAAGACUUCUGCAACUUAAGAACCUUCUGGUAACAUCAUCUAAAAACAAAUCUUGGGGAAAGGCACACCCACUUCUUUGUAUCAACUUAAUCUCUCACUAGGCGAGGAGGGGUUUUGAAUUACUUCAGGAAAGCAGUGACUAAUAGAGCCUACCCUCCAGUUUUCCUCAUUUAUUUUCAUAAGAGAAUGGGAGUGGAAUUCAAAACAUUCAGAUCUGGAGUUAAUGUACGUCACCCUGUCAGCAACUGACAGGCUCUGUGUUUUUCCAGUGGGAAAACUUUGACCCACAAACUGAUAGACGCCUGUUACAGGCUUUUCUAUUCCUUCUAUUUCUCUCCUGGUUAUUGCUUACUCGUUCAAAAACCAGCUGACUGUACAGGUUGUCUCUAGGAGCAGAUUUCAGAGCAAAGGUGAUACAUAAAAGCAAUGCCUUGCCAGGCUCCCUUGUCCAUGGGAUUCUCCAGGCAAGACUACUGGACUGGAAAUUUCCUCCUCCAGGGGAUCUUCCCGAACCAGGAAUCAAACCCACGUCUCCUGUGUCUCCUGCAUUGGCAGGUGGAUUCUUUACCAUUGCUGCACCUGGAAAGCUGAUGAUGUUGGGGCCCUUCUGUGAUGUGGGCACUGAAACCUAGGCAGACAAUGGAAUAAAGAUUGGUACUGUUUAAAAAGAUUUUUGGAGAAAUGUGGAAAGCAAAAUAGACAGAAAUUAUGAUGUAUUUAUGUAAAGUUGUGCCGGGUGAGCCUGCCCUUCCACCUCCGCCUCCACCCCUGAGACAGCAAGAACCUCCUCUUCGUCCUCAGCCCACUCGUUAUGAAGACAGUGAGGACGAAGACCUCUAUGAUGAUCCACUUCCACUUAAUGAGUAGUCAGUCAUCAUCAUAUUGCACAGUUGAUAGACUCAUCUGUUGAAUAUGUGUGAGUGUCUUCAUGUGGAAGUCUAAGGACUGAACAACAAGAACUGUAUAGACAUUUUUGUGUCAUCAGCACCGUCUUUGAUUGUGUAGCACAUCAUGUACUGAAGUGGAUAAUCCAUCCUUACAUAGGCAUAAGGUGAGUGAUAUUUAAUAUAAAACUAAUAUGUUAGUUUUCUUACUGCCUUAUAAUUCUGCUUUCAAAGAAUUCCAUUACUAUACAGUGUGCCUCUCUCAUAAUUGGAAAAACUGUAUAUCAGCCUAUCAUCACAGCUAAGUUUUUUUUUCAAGUUUCCAAUGUUGUAUUAUGGAUAUGACUAUAAUACUGUUUGUCAUAAAGUUGUAAUGAAAUUUCAUUUAUUAGUGUAUAAGCUAAGCUACUGUGAAGCAGUCAUAUCGAUUACACGAGGCUACCAUAAAACAUUGCUGCUUCAUUGUUAUCAGUGCAUGAAUCUUUAUACCUGUAAAUAAUAAUACUUCAGUAUUCUUGCCUGGAGAAUCCCAUGGACAGAGAAGCUUGGCGGGGUCUACAGCCCAUAGGGUCACAAAGAGUUGGAUACUACUGAAGCGAUUCAGCGAUUUUUCACAUUAGCAUUUCAUUUUUGAUGUCUGGAUUUAGUAAUACAUGUAACAUCUGCAGUGUUUCAUAUCAUAUAAGACAAUAUUGAUGUUGACAGUAUUGAUAAUACUGACAGUAUUGACAAUAUUGACAGUAUUGAUAAAUGAUUUAUCUUAUACUCUUUCUGACCCCAUGGACUACAUAGUCCAUGGAAUUCUCCAGGCCAGAAUACUGGAAUGGGUAGCCUUUCCCUUCUCCAGGGGAUCUUCCCAACCCAGCAAUCGAACCCAGGUUACCCUCA